GAUGAACGCUGGCGGCGUGCUUAACACAUGCAAGUCGAACGGAAAGGCCCAAGCUUGCUUGGGUACUCGAGUGGCGAACGGGUGAGUAACACGUGGGUGAUCUGCCCUGCACUUCGGGAUAAGCCUGGGAAACUGGGCCUAAUACCGGAUAGGACCACUUCUUGGAUGUUGUGGUGGAAAGUUUUUUCGGUGUGGGAUGAGCUCGCGGCCUAUCAGCUUGUUGGUGGGGUAAUGGCCUACCAAGGCGUCGACGGGUAGCCGGCCUGAGAGGGUGUACGGCCACAUUGGGACUGAGAUACGGCCCAGACUCCUACGGGAGGCAGCAGUGGGGAAUAUUGCACAAUGGGCGCAAGCCUGAUGCAGCGACGCCGCGUGGGGGAUGACGGCCUUCGGGUUGUAAACUCCUUUCGCUAGGGACGAAGCGUUUUGUGACGGUACCUGGAGAAGAAGCACCGGCUAACUACGUG
rnacentral:rRNA from 1 species